rnacentral:rRNA from 1 species
AGUGAACGCUGGCGGUAGGCCUAACACAUGCAAGUCGAACGGCAGCACAGUAAGAGCUUGCUCUUACGGGUGGCGAGUGGCGGACGGGUGAGGAAUACAUCGGAAUCUACUUUUUCGUGGGGGAUAACGUAGGGAAACUUACGCUAAUACCGCAUACGGCCUACGGGUGAAAGCAGGGGAUCUUCGGACCUUGCGCGAUUGAAUGAGCCGAUGUCGGAUUAGCUAGUUGGCGGGGUAAAGGCCCACCAAGGCGACGAUCCGUAGCUGGUCUGAGAGGAUGAUCAGCCACACUGGAACUGAGACACGGUCCAGACUCCUACGGGAGGCAGCAGUGGGGAAUAUUGGACAACGGGCGCAAGCCUGAUCCAGCCAUACCGCGUGGGUGAAGAAGGCCUUCGGGUUGUAAAGCCCUUUUGUUGGGAAAGAAAAGCAGCAGGUUAAUACCCCGCUGUUCUGACGGUACCCAAAGAAUAAGCACCGGCUAACUUCGUG